UCCAUCCCCACUUCCCCAUUUCUUUAAACCUUAUCAUCACUCUCUCUUCAUUUUCUCCAUUAGGCCGCCCGUCCUUCACCUUGCUCCUCAUCAGCUCCAUGGAGCUUGUGCUAGCUGGCUACAAAGCAACCAACAAGCAAGAUCCAGUACUCCUACCGUCGAUCCUAUCUAGGGUUUUUCUCUAGCUGCUUUCCCGGCCGGCCCAGUCGUCGAUCUCCUCCUCCUCCUGCUUCUGCUUCUGCUUCUUCUAACCAACCGGCCAAGCAAGCAAGGCCUCCCCGGCCUUAUAUAUACCUAGCUAUCUUGCUUGCCUAGAUCGAUCCAUGUAGCCACCCAGUCAUCAGGCCUCAUCAGCUCAGCUCCCUUGUUGAGCUACCCUGGCCACACCACCAUCCAAGUGCCAAGAGACAACCUUUAUCUUAUUGUUAGCUUCUUCGCCUGCUACUUUCUCUAGAUAUACGCGUGCGUGUGUAGAUCAAUCCUCCCAUGCAUCAUCCAUCCCUUUCUUGCCCGGCGGCGGCGGCUGCGGCUGCGGUGUAGUAGUACAGGUGUGGCGCGUGGAAAUUAAAGAUAAACAGAUCGUGCUGUCCUGUUCUUGAUUCUUCGAUUCUCUACCUCCUCCUCUCCCUUUUAAUUUGGUCUUUUGAUAUAUAUAUGUAUGUAUAUAGCUACAUAGCCAUCUUUAUUUCGAGCUUAGCUUGCAUCUUUCCUCUCCGGCCUCCUCCUAUCUUGUGUCCAAUUAAUUUGAUGCAUAUGGUUCUCUUGAGGUGCCUUUAUAUGCAUUAAUUCCUCUUCUUGAUUCAAAUUAAAGCUCCUUAUUAUGCGCGCAUAUCGAUCCAAACAAACAUAUAGAUGCUGGAUCUUUCCUCUUGAUCGAUGGGAUUGGGAUAUCAGUCAGAUGCAUGUGCUGCAUGUAUAGAUCUCCAUCUGCGGUAUGCUAAUACCUUAUUAGCUUCCUGCCGGAUCGAUCACCUUGCAAGCUGCUGCGGAUCAUGGAGCAAACAGUCGGUGCUUGCAGGUGCAGCACCAUCAAGAUUCACAUCCACCUCAUCCUCAGUUGAUGCUACACAGCAUGCACACCUGAUGAGAUGAGAAUCUUGAUGAUGCUGCAUCAGCAGGCACUCACUCAUCACCUUGAAGAGUGAGAGGAUCUCUCUGGUGCAAUUGAGAACUAGUAGUCAUUAAUUCUUUCCUUCAACUGCGACCUUGCUUAAUUAAUUUGUUUUCACUUGAGUUGAGUUUUAUUCGCCUUUGUUUUUGCACAUUAUUUAUAUCUUACUGCUGCUCUCCGUCGCCGAGGCGGAGUAGUAGAGUAGAUUGUCUGAGGUUGGACCCAAAAAGAAGCUAAGUGCCUUGUGAUUUCAGUUGGCAUCAAGCCUUCAUUCUCAAGCUAGGCUGCAGUGCGAGGUGAGUCUCACUUGGUCUUGUGUUGUUUAUUUCCGGUUGGGAGAAGCAUAUAUACUUCAUGAUUAAGCCCGGGGAGCCAUGAUUUUAUGGUGUAUUAUGAGUUUAAUGCAUGGCAGGUUCCGUUCGAUUUAUGUGGCAGAAAGAAGAAGCUCAUCACUUCCCUUGGCAACAUCUGCACACUUGCUAUAAUUUUCCCUGGAAGAAGUGGUUGGAAGAUCAUUAAGCUUAUGCUGCAUACCUUACAGGUUCGAGUAAUAACAUUCAUUCGGUUUGCUGCCUCUUCCUAGCUAGUGUUUUCUCCCAUUUUUUUUAUCUAAAUCCUCCCUCAAGAUGAAUCCAGUUUGGGCGCAUCCUAACUUUGAUUGAUCCUAGCUAAGUACUAGCUAGAGAGGGACGACAAACACGGUCACCGAACAUGAAUCACUAAUCAUUCUCUGUCAUCCAUAUACUUUAUUUGUUCUUGUCCCAAUGCUGCAAAACCCAAUGUGCCAACACUGCACUGGCGUCGGCAUCAUCGAUCGUCUGAUUGACGUAGUACAGAUAUGCUGAUCUACAAAAUAUUCCCAAUCAUCAUACAACUACUGAAUAUAUUCUGCAGUUGUAUGAUCUGUACUCUGCCGCUACCUCAGACAUUGUAUCCAUUAUUUCCUAUAUAAAGAAGGGUGCCAUUUCUCCCUCAUCUUCGUCAGCACCUACUUUUCCUUUCUUAAUUUCUGUAUGCAGUCGAUCAUCGGAGACUUAAUUAAUUAUUGUUUUUUCCCCGAUAAUAUCUAGGUAGGUAGGUUUCUUGAAGAUUAUAUUAUAUUGUUUGUGAUGAUAAUAGGAUAUGAUGGACCAUAUCUCUUCCGUCCGAUGAGGAAGAACAGAUCGACCGGCAAGCGAAUGAAGCGAAGCGAAGCAAGCAGGGGCAUAUGAUCGAUGCACCAGCCACAGAACUGACAGAAGCAUCAAGAGCAUGAGCUGAUGAUGAGCAGUGGCAGUUGAUGAUGAUAGAUGGAGAGGAAUCAGCAGUGCCCGGGUAGAUGGUUCAACUUGUUGGAGUGGACCAUGUAGAUGGAUCGAUCUCGACGAUGCAGACAGAGGCAGCAGGGGGCCGGCCGGGGGUACGUACGUAGUACAUUGCUAUUAUUGUGCCAAAGGAAGGGGACCAAUACACACGCACACACACACACAUAAUGCACACCCUGAUGAGCUGCUGCUAGCUGAUCAGGCCAGGGACAAGCCUUGCAGACUCUGGUGGUGCUGCUGGUACAACCGUACUAUUCCUACUGUGCCCCCAGCAACAAGUGAAAGGUGAAAAUUUUCAGCUCGCUUUACCUAUUGUUACUUUUGCCUUUCUGCAGGCUGCAAACUGCAGGUCUGUGUUGUGUUCUCUCUUUACAUAUAGUGGAUGGGAUACAUAGAUCUUUAUUACUUCCACUUCACACCCUGGUUGCAUAUAUCAUAUCUAUAAAGCCUGCAAAUUGGAUUGCCACAGUGUCUGAUGAUGGGCCAGCUACUUACUUGAUCAUGUAUAAUAUAUGCUUGCUCAUCAUCAGGCAAAUUAAACAAUAAAUAUUUGAGUGAACCGUGUAACUGAAUCUUUCAAGUUGGCAGCUGCAUGCUGGUGUGAGUUAAUUUUGCAUGUGCUGAUGACUGUCUAGUCUUGACUUUUCUUUAUCAAUACAACAAGCAGCUAGCACCCAGCCUGGCCUUCUGCAUGCUAUUUUACGUUCCAAACUUGCAAUAGUACUAUUACUAUGCUUGAGAGAACUCUAAUAAGUAUCCCAGUACGAACUGGACAGUCUAGUGCUGCGUCUGCAUAAUAAACGACUGUGGAAGGAGUUGGGUUCUAGUGCGACAGUUGAAUUGUUUCAGUGCCGGCCAGUACCAUGUAAUUAACGACAGUUGAAUUGUUUCAGUGACUGCAAGUCUGCAACUGAUUAAGCGUGGCAAGAAUAAAGCGGGCUCGAUCGAUCAUUUGCCGGCCAUGAUCUACACGUUUUAUUUAGUACUGUCCCCUCAUAAUUUGGUAUUAAUUCCGUCCGUGUUUCAAAACGUAAAUCGUUCUAAUUUUAUCCCAAGUCAAACUUGUCAAGCUUUGAAGGUACAUCUACGUGCAUGCAUUUUGGAACGGAGGGAAUAAUACCCAAGUAGCCUAGCUCUCUUUCAUCACCAGAUUGCAUUUUUUUUCAAAAAAAAUGAACUGGCAGGAGAGAUCAUCAGCUUGCAUUGGACGUAGUACUGAAUACUGAUUGUAGCUGUUUCCGACGUUGUGUCUGAUAUAUGAAAGGUUUGUUUCUUCAGGUUACAUGACCACGUGCACGUACAUGGGUGCAAAUGCGAUUCUUCGCUCAUCAUCAUCUUCAGUAGUUUCACUUGCACAUGAACGAACAUAUAUAAAAACAUGCCUAACUGUCACUCAUCAUCACUUGGUUUUUACAUACUGAUGAAAAGUUAGGUACUAUACGAGAUGGAAGAAGAGUGGACCGAUCACCGAUCACGAGCAGGCAGCUAGCACGGACGAGAUAUGAUCGGCGGUACGGUGGACCAUGCAGUGCAUGCAUGCAUGCACAUAUUCUAGGCAGGCUACGUACGCACGUACGUCAAAGCAUGGUCCCGUACGUGCCGGCAAUCUUCACGAGGACGGGCGCGAAAUGUAAUAUAAGAUUACAAAUAUACGACAAUUAACUAGCCUGUUCUAAACGUCAUAUAAUAUUUGUAUACUAUCUAUGUAUCCCGUGGCUAGCUGCAAGUCUGCAACGACAACCGUGAGAUGGGCACCUCCUCGAUCGAUCGAUCUGCAGUAGCGCAUGGCAAUGGCGGCCAGCACACAGCAGCAGGGUGUCGUACGGAGGAUCGUGUCUCGUUGCCGCUUGUCACAUGCGUUCUUCCUUCCACUUGUUCCUGCUGGCUGGCUAUCAGUGAAAUGCAGAUUAGUGGUAAAAUGGCCUAAAUGAGUGAUUGGAGAAUAAGAACAUGAAGUACCAUCCAUUACUAUUGCAGCCCUGGCAAACCUGCCUGGCGCAGCCAUUGCAGGCGUCCGGUAAACAGAGUUGGAGCUGUUGCCUGUUAUUAAUGCAGGGUGUGCUUGAGGGGAGCAGAAGGUCAGGUUGGAGCUGUUGCUUGUUGUUUAUGCAGGGUGUGCUUCAAGUGAGCAGAAGAACUCCAUCAUGUUCCAGUCCAGAUCCAAAUCCAUGUUGAUGACAGAUUUUGAGCAGAGAAGCAUGCAGCACACAGGUCUUCUGAUAGAUGCAGGUGAACUGAGCGUGUUUGUGUUCUAGGAUUAGGAUGCCAUGCUCUGCUCAUUCUAAGUACACACCAUCAAGCAGGUAACCUCUAUUUUGCUACUUAACUAGACUUUGAAUGUUAAUUAUGACGAGGAUUAAUUUGUGGGGUUAGUUUCUGUUUGUUACCCAGCUGUUAAGCUUGAGAUCAAUGCAUGAGAAUUAUUUAGACAAACUAUGCUCGAUUCAUAGGAUAUCAUAAAAAGUAUACUCCAGAUUAUAUAUAUCAAAAAAGAAUAGGUUAUGUUGAGCUUGGCUGUCAGAAGAUGCAUCUGCUGAAACCUACAUUGCUCUUAUCCUUCCAUUUACUGUCGUGCUCAGGAUGCUUUAGUGAAAAAUUGGUGUAGUGGCAAUACUACUUCCUGUGCUUGAAGAAAAAAAUUUCUUUGUUUUAGUGCUGGGCGAAAGAAACAUUUUCUGGGAUACCAUCUUGUGAAAACCAUUUUAGGGUUCAUUGCAAUGUCAUGUGGAAAGCUUUUUUAUUUCUUUGUAUGAAUAAUUCAAAUCAUCAGGCAAUGAGGAAUGCUGUUGUACGGCUCUCGACUGCCACUGCAGCUGUCCAUCGACGAGUCAUCGACCUGAGAUGAGCAAUCAUUCCCAGCUCGAAUGCAAAAUUCCUCUUCAUUCUCAUUGUUGCAAUGCAAGCUGCCGGGUCCAAUGCAAACAAUCAUGCGCAGUAGCGUACCUCUCUAGUCAUUUUCUACACAGUUAUGAAAUUCACUAACGAGCAAUCUAAUUUUUCUGCUCAUCUUCUACGACUAGUCCAUAAAGUAAGAUAAGCAAUCAAAAGGUUCUGAAUCACUAUAGGGCGGUGGCAGCGCAGGGCUGCCAUGUACCUACUCGUGCUGCCAGAGCCAGACUGCCCUAGCUGGACUGUCGACGAUGAGGCCCGUCUAGCGUGCGCGCACAAGUCGACACGUCACACGAUAUCUAUGCACUCGGUACUCCUCUCACUCAAGCAGCCGUGUCUUGUCAGAAGUUGCAGGUGCUCGCGAUUCAUAAGCACAUGCACAUUGAAAUGUCCUUGCUCUCACGGUCAUCAAAUGUCCUCGUUUCAAAUGCGAAAGUUGAACGAGCAGCCUGAUUGGAAUUAGACCAAAUUCUCACAAACACAACUGCAUACACAACACUCAACGGCAGGCAAACACUGCGACCCGUCGGCCGGCAAAAGCGUAAGAACAUCGGAGGCCCAUAAGCGGCCUGUCCACAACCCAGCCCAUUGGUGCACGGGCACAAGCUGAAAGGAGGAGCCCAUAGGGGCCCAUCAAUCUUUAAAGGCCUGUAAAUAUUAUUUUUUUUGAAUGCAAAGGCCUCAACAAAAACUCAUCCCCUUGUGCUCGGUAGGCUUAGCUACUGCAAAUUGUGAAUCCAAGAAGGUGGAAUCUGAAGGACAGCCAGUUUACUCAGCUCCUCCGUCUCAUGCUGGGCAGUUCGUCUCUCAAGAACACAAUAGGCUGAUUUUACAGGGCACUCAAGAAACACACACACAGAUUCGCGAGGUCAGUAGCUCAGCAGAACAGUAGAGCUAGCUGCAAAACACAGAGGGCAAUUGGUGAAGCGUGUCUACCCCGUAGGGGGUCACGGCUACGUGUUUAUAUAGGCGCUACAAUGCGCAAGGAUUACAGGAUCGUAAAGACUCGAGUGCCGGUCAAGAGAUCUUGUUUACAGAUAUCUACAACUAAAUCUUAGAGAGAACAAACAAUCAAUCAAGAUUCCUGGCCGAGCACAUGUCUCAAGUCGUUACUGAACAAUACAAACAUUAACACGUAGCCUAUCAUAUAUUCUAACAGCCUCCCUAAAUCACAACUUUGUUAAGUUGAGAUUGACCUUGAAAUUCUCUAGUAGCCUAACAGAUAGUGCUUUAGUAAACCUAUCCGCAACUUGAUUUUCGGAAGGAACAAAAUCAAUUGUCAAUAGCUUCUAUGCAACUCUAUCUCUCACAAAAUGAUAGUCCACCUCGAUAUUCUUAGUCCUAGCAUGGAAGACAUGAUUAGAUGACAAAUAUUUGUCACCCAUAUUGUCACGCCAAAGUUUAGCAGCACAUGGACUUUCUAUUCCCAACUCAUGUAAGAGUUUUUGUAUCCAUAUAAUUUCUGCAAUAGCAUUAGCAAGAGCUUUGUAUUCAAAUUCUGUACUUGAUCUUGACACAGUAGGUUGCUUCCUUGAGCUCCAUGACACAAGAUUUGAUCCCAGAAAAACAGCAAAGCUACCGGUAGAUUUUUUGUCAUCCACACUACCGGCCCAAUCUGCAUCUUAAAACGCACUCACUAGGAAAGAAGUUGACUUGUGUAUCUUGAGGCCUAGACUUGUGCACUGUUUGAUAUAUCUUAAUAUGUGUUUUACUGCAGCCCAAUGUACUGUUGUUGGUGGGUGCAGAAACUGGCAAACUUUGUUAACUGAGAAAGAAAUAUCCGGCCUAGUCAAGGUCAAGUAUUGCAAAGCCUCAACUAUGCUUCCGUAUUGAGUUGCAUCAUUACUUCCAAGUAAAGUACCUUCAUGCAGAGACAACUUCUCACUCGUACAUAACGGUGUGCUUAUCGGUUUACAAUCUGACAUCCCUACUCUCUUUAAUAGAUCUGAGGCAUACUUGUGUUGCCUCAGAAUAAUACCACCUUGUACUUUAUUAACCUCUAUUCCCAAGAAGUAAUGAAGCUAACCAAGUUCCUUGAGAGCAAGUUCUUCAUUUAGCUUCCUUAUUAGUCCCAUUGUCACCUUCUCUGAAGAGCUAGCCACAAUAAUAUCAUCUACAUAUACUAAGAUAAAAACAGUAAUGCCUCCCUUAUUGAAGAAGAAUAAUGAUGUAUCAGCUUUAGAUGACUUAAAUCCAAGACUAACCAAUUUACUGCUCAACCUUGAGUACCACACUCGAGGAGCUUGUUUGAGCCCAUAAAUAGCUUUAUCUAGCCUGCAUACAUAAUUGGGCCAAGACAUAUCCUCAAAACCUAGAGGUUGCUGCAUAAACACUUUUUCUUCAAGUACUCCAUGUAGAAAAGCAUUCUAUACAUCAAGUUGUCGUAGACUCCAGCCACGAGAGACAACAAUAGACAAAAUGAUACGAAUAGUAGCUGCUUUGACUAUGGGACUCAAUGUAUCUUCAUAAUCUAAACCGUACCUUUGCUUGAACCCUUUUGCCACUAAUCUAGCCUUAUAUCUAUCCAGGCUUCCAUCUGAUUUUCUUUUGAUCUUGUACACCCAUUUGCACCCAAUAACAUUCCUUCCUUUUUGAGGAGGAACCAGGUACCAUGUCUGAUUUUUCAUUAGAGCACCAUACUCUGAAUCCAUUGCCUUUUUUCCAGUUGGUGUCCUGCAGGGCUUCAUCGAGAUGUUGUGGUUCACCAAAGGAGGUGAAGCACCCGUACUUGACAGUGCCAUCCAUAUAAACUUUUUCCUUUUGGAUCCUACUUUGAAGUCUGGUUCUAGGUCUGGUGUUGGUUGGAUCAGCAAAUCCACCAGGCGCAGAGGAUCCGGAGGACAAAAUCUACUCUGGAAUCUGUGAAGAAUCAAGCACAGGCACGGUCGGCACUGACGAGGGAGCUGUCGGGGCUGUUGUCGGUGACGCGGCGUCAUGGGAUUCACCCCCCGUGCGUUAGUGCACCCGAGCGUGGGAGCAAGGCGCGUGGUGCAAGGAGAUUCGCCGCGCAUGCUCAACGGACCGAGCGUUGUCCCGCCACCUGGUGCUGCUGCCUGCGGCAUGGAUCCCGAGCGUGAUACGCUACCAGGGAUCGUACCAGGAUCAACAUUGAUGUUCGUGUGUCCUGCAUCAUCUCCUGGAGAGCUCAUAUCAUAUGCAUUUGGCCCCUGAUUUUUACUGUUAUUUCCACCAAAAUCAUUAGUAACAUUAGGAGAUAAAUUAGUCACAUGAUCAUCUAUAUUAUUAACACCAGUCCUAGCACUUUCAAGAUUGCUAGAUGUCAAAGGUAUGAGAAGAGUUUAUGGUCUAAGCCUUGUGCCUGCAUUAGGAUUGAGUUUGGAGAAAGGAAAGACACUCUCAUCAAAAGUCACAUCUCUAGAAAUAUAGACUCUUCCAGUAGAUAUAUCUAAACACUUGAA